rnacentral:lncRNA from 1 species
AGGAGCGCUUCUCUUUUCUAGCUCCCCUGCCAGGCCAGUCCCCGAGCUCGGCCCCUGGGUCCCCAAACCGACUGGCAAAAACGGGCGCGGAGGGAAAGGAAAGCCGGAUGGGUCGGGCCCGGGGACCACCCCCAAGACGACCGUCCCCAGCGCCCUUUGGGCGGCGCUGCCCACCGUAGUGGGGGAAGGGCCGGGAGGGGUCGCGCGGAGAAAGCCGCUGGGAGGGUUGGGGGUUGAAUCUCGGGCCCGCGCCCCCGCCCCAGUCCCAGGAGGGAGAAACGAGGGGACCCGCGAGGCCCUGGCUGCGGGCCCCACCCCUCGCUGGCCGGCGGGUCUAGGACUGACAGCCGGCGGCGGCACCUCGCCGCACCAUUCAUUUCCCGGCCUCCUCCCUCCCCCGCCAUCUUCCUUCCUCCGCCUCAGUUUCCCCACCCCCGCCCGUAAGCCCCCUUACCCCGUGCCACAGUCCACCACACAGGCCGGCAGCCGUCCCGCCAUCUUCCUCCUCGCCUGCUGCUGCUGCUGCCGCCGUCUGCUCCGUGCUGCUAGGGGCCAGAGAUUGGCGGCGGGAGACAAGGGCUAUCUGACCAUCCACAGCUGGGCCGCCUUCACCGUCCGGGGGGUAGCCGGGAAGCCGAAGCAGUAGCAAGAAAGCAGCAGGCUCGGUCGGCGGCUAUCACUUCCGCAACCCAGGCAGGCAGGCAGUCCCCGCCCUGCCCCGCCGCGGCCUCCUCCCCCUCUCUCUUCCCUCCUCCUCACUCCUGCCCCCACCCUACAACUUCUUCCCCUCACGCCGCCUUUCCCCGGGAAGCCAAGAUGGCCGCCGGUGCCGACGCCCCGGCCAGGCCAGGCCCAGGCCCCCAGCGCUCCCCCUUCCGCUCCGAGCGGGAGGGGCUAGCGAGCAUGCGCAAUAAGUAACAAUGCCUGGAUUUUAUUCAGAUGCUGUGUACCCAGCCAAAAGACUACAUUUCUCAAUCUCCAUUGUAGCUGGAUGUGGCUGUGUGAUCAAGUUAUGACCAAUGAGAUAUAAGUAGAAGUAGCUUGGCCAGACACAGUGGCUCACACCUGUAAUCCCAGCCCUUUGGGAGGCCAAAGCAGGAGGAUCACUUGCACUCAGGAGUUGGAAACUGCAGACCAGCCUGGAGAACACAGUGACACCUUGUCUCUACACAAAAUGAAAAAGUUAGCAGGGUAUGGUGGCAUGUGCCUGUGGUCCCAGCUACUUCCAGCUACUUGGGAGGCUAAAAUGGAAGGAUCGCUUGAGCCUGGGAGAUUGAGGCCUCAGUGAGCCAUGAUCAUGCCACUGUACUCCAGCCUGGGUGACAAGAGCAAGACCCUGUCUCUCAAAAAAAAAAAAACGCGGCUGGGUGGAACAUCUGGAAAACAUCUUUAAAGAACGCUGACUCAAUCAGGAGGAGCACCAUUUUGUUUCUUGCCCUCUGCCCUUCCUGCCUGAAACAGAUAAGUGCCCUCUGUGUACCAAAAAGGAAUGUACUGUUUAUAGAGACUUCAAAUCAGCAGAAAAUUCAAAUAGUUAUAACUUUUCUUUAUAAUCCAUCAUGAAAAAGAGUAACGACAAAUAAGAGUGCAGUGGUGCAGUCAUGGCUCACUGCAGCGUCUGCCUCCUGGACUCAAAGAAUCCUCCUACCUCAGCCUCCCAAGUAGCUAGGACCACAGGUAUGUACCACCACACCCAGUUAUUAUUAUUAUUUUUUUUCACAGAGACAGGAUCUCACUAUGUUGCCCAGGCUGGUCUCCAACUCCUAGGCUCAAGCGAUCUACCUGCCUCAACCUCCCAAAGUGCUGGGAUUACAGGCAUGUGCCACUGGGCCUAGCCUGGCAUUACUCUUACAAAGGAUACACCACGAGUUGUGCUCUCCUGCAGCGUUUUGCGGACGGCUGGCUAUCUUACCCAGAAUCAAUCACACUGGGACACUGAAAAAAAAAAAAAAGGAAAAAAGAGCGAGGGAGUAAUUCUAGCCUGUUUUUACAAGAACACAGUGGCUAUAGACAGUGCCAGUGUGAAGAUGACUCAGCAAACGUGGAGAACCAAAGAUUCUAGGGCAGCACCAAAACUGGGAAAGCAAUUACAGCAGAAGUUGCCUUCCCCAUGGUAGCUUAGCAACUUCGUGUCUCUCCAAGGCAGAGAGGAAAAUCAAGUCUAACAGGCCUUCCCGAAGGCUAGGUGUGAAAUACCAGAAGCCAUCUUUGUUUCUGGCGAUGUCACUAAAUAAGUAUUUGUUGAUAUAAAGUAUUACACAUCUGUUCUCCCACAUUUCAGCUAAAUUGCCAAAAGUUAACCCUUUCUGGAGAUCCAGAAUGGAGCAAUAUACCUAGCUCUCAUUCAUUAUUUCCCUUGCUGAUAUUCUUGCAUAGCUUUUAGUUUAUGCAUUUGUCCCAAAUAAACCUAGAAAAAGCCACUUGUCGUAGGACAAGAUGAGCUGAUGAUUUGAAUCACUCCCCCACUGAGGAAGAAACCAUCUGUGGAAAAGACUGUAUAAGGUACUUCCUGGUUGAACGGUAGGGCUCUGGAGUCAGAAGUCUUGAAUUUGAAUCCCAGCCCUGAAAUGUAUCAGCUGUGUGCCCUUAGGCCAGAUAUACUUUUAUUGCACAACAUGUAUUACGUACAAGAAUAUCACAAGAUUUGGAAAUGUUAGUCCUAGAAGAGUUUGACACAACGCAAUGAUAAGACAGUAUGAAAAAUGGAGCUAUGAAUAAAAAAGAAUCCAUAAGUCCCCAGAGCCUAUGAGUAUGUUAUGUUGCAUAGUGAUGUAGUUUGGAUGCCUGUCCUCUCCAAAUCUCAUAUUGAAAUGUGAUCCCCAGUGUUGGAGGUGGGGUCUGGUGGAAGAUGUUUGAAUUAUAGGGGCUGAUUCCUUAUGAAUGGUUUGGUACCCACCCCGUGGUAAUGAGUGAGCUCUCAUUCUGGUAGUUUCUGUGAGAGCUGGUUGUUUAAAAGAGCCUGGCACCUCCCCUUCCUCUCUUGCUCCCUCUCUGUCUUGCCAUGUGACACUCCUGCACCCCUUUACCUUCUGCCAUGAUUGGAAGCUUCCUGAGGCCCUCACCAGAAACCAAUGCCUACACCAUGCUUCCUGUACAACCUGCAGAGCCCAAAUAAAC